ACAGAGGGAUAGCCCAGAGAAAUUUGGAUUAAUACCUCAUAGUAUUAUGAUGUGGCAUCACAUUAUAAUUAAAGUCACAACGGUAAAAGAUGGGCAUGCGUCCCAUUAGCUAGAUGGUAAGGUAACGGCUUACCAUGGCUACGAUGGGUAGGGGUCCUGAGAGGGAGAUCCCCCACACUGGUACUGAGACACGGACCAGACUCCUACGGGAGGCAGCAGUGAGGAAUAUUGGUCAAUGGACGCAAGUCUGAACCAGCCAUGCCGCGUGCAGGAUGACGGUCCUAUGGAUUGUAAACUGCUUUUGUACGAGAAGAAACAACAUUACGUGUAAUGUCUUGACGGUAUCGUAAGAAUAAGGAUCGGCUAACUCCGUGCCAGCAGCCGCGGUAAUACGGAGGAUCCAAGCGUUAUCCGGAAUCAUUGGGUUUAAAGGGUCUGUAGGCGGUUUGGUAAGUCAGUGGUGAAAGCCCAUCGCUCAACGGUGGAACGGCCAUUGAUACUGCCAGACUUGAAUUACUGGGAAGUAACUAGAAUAUGUAGUGUAGCGGUGAAAUGCUUAGAGAUUACAUGGAAUACCAAUUGCGAAGGCAGGUUACUACCAGUGGAUUGACGCUGAUGGACGAAAGCGUGGGGAGCGAACAGGAUUAGAUACCCUGGUAGUCCACGCCGUAAACGAUGGAUACUAGCUGUUGGUGGCAACAUCAGUGGCUAAGCGAAAGUGAUAAGUAUCCCACCUGGGGAGUACGGGCGCAAGCCUGAAACUCAAAGGAAUUGACGGGGGCCCGCACAAGCGGUGGAGCAUGUGGUUUAAUUCGAUGAUACGCGAGGAACCUUACCAAGGCUUAAAUGUAGUUUGACCGAUUUGGAAACAGAUCUUUCGCAAGACAGAUUACAAGGUGCUGCAUGGUUGUCGUCAGCUCGUGCCGUGAGGUGUCAGGUUAAGUCCUAUAACGAGCGCAACCCCUGUUGUUAGUUGCCAGCGAGUAAUGUCGGGAACUCUAGCAAGACUGCCGGUGCAAACCGUGAGGAAGGUGGGGAUGACGUCAAAUCAUCACGGCCCUUACGCCUUGGGCUACACACGUGCUACAAUGGCCGGUACAGAGAGCAGCCACUUCGUGAGGAGGAGCGAAUCUAUAAAACAGGUGCACAGUUCGGAUCGGAGUCUGCAACUCGACUCCGGAAGCUGGAAUCGC
rnacentral:rRNA from 1 species